GACGAACGCUGGCGGCGUGCUUAACACAUGCAAGUCGAACGGUGAAGCCCUGCUUUUGUGAGCUGCUGCGAAGGCGAGAGUGUGACUAACGCAAGGUUCACCUGGCCCUGGCUUAACGCUAAGUACAUGGGGCUAGUGCUGGUACCGGAUCGGUGCUCCUGCGGGAUGGUGUGGGUAGGAUAUCUUGGGCGGUGGGGAUGGACUCGCGGCUUAUCAGCUUGUUGGUGGGGUAGUGGCUUACCAAGGCUUUGACGGGUAGCCGGCCUGGGAGGGUGACCGGCCACAUUGGGACUGAGACACGGCCCAGACUCCUACGGGAGGCAGCAGUGGGGAAUAUUGCGCAAUGGGCGGAAGCCUGACGCAGCAACGCCGCGUGCGGGAUGACGGCCUUCGGGUUGUAAACCUCUUUCGGCAGGGACGAAGCGUGAGUGACGGUAAUUGGAAAAGAAGCACCGGCCAACUACGUG
rnacentral:rRNA from 1 species